rnacentral:rRNA from 1 species
ACCGAUAGUGAACCAGUACCGUGAGGGAAAGGCGAAAAGAACCCCGGCGAGGGGAGUGAAAAAGAACCUGAAACCGUGUACGUACAAGCAGUAGGAGCCUCUUUAUGGGGUGACUGCGUACCUUUUGUAUAAUGGGUCAGCGACUUAUAUUCUGUAGCAAGGUUAACCGUAUAGGGGAGCCGUAGGGAAACCGAGUCUUAACUGGGCGAAUGAGUUGCAGGGUAUAGACCCGAAACCCGGUGAUCUAUCCAUGGGCAGGUUGAAGGUUG